AAAAGGAAAGAAAGAAAACAAAGUUGAGCGAUGACUGAUUGGUGACCUGACCUGCACUUUUCUGUUCUUGGCUGUUUCUCGGCUGGAUUUUCUCUAUCUCUGUCUCUCUUGUUUCUUUGUUUCUUUCUUUCUCCGACAU
rnacentral:ribozyme from 1 species